rnacentral:rRNA from 1 species
GACGAACGCUGGCGGCGUGCUUAACACAUGCAAGUCGAACGGAAAGGCCCCCACAUUGGUGGGUGUGCUCGAGUGGCGAACGGGUGAGUAACAAGUGGGUGAUCAGCCCUGUAUUUCGGGAUAAGCUUGGGAACCUGGGUCUAAUACAGGCUAGGUACAUGGUUUAGUGUCUAUUGGUGGAAAAAUUAUUGUUUUGGUGCAGGAUGAGCUCGCGGCCUAGCAGCUUGCUGGUGGGGUAAUGGCCUACCAAGGCGUCGGCGGGUAGCCGGCCUGAGAGGGUGGACGGCCACAUUGGGACCGAGAAACGGCCCAGACUCCUACGGGAGGGAGGAGGGGGGAAUAUUGCACAAUUGGCGCAAGCCUGAGGCAGCGACGCCGCGUUGGGGAUGACGGCCGUCGGGGGGUAAACUCCUUUCGUUAGCGACGAAGCCACACCGUUUUUGGGUGUGGUUACGGUACCUGUGUUAAUAAGCACCGGCUAACUACGUG